AGAGUUUGAUCAUGGCUCAGAGCGAACGCUGGCGGCAGGCCUAAAACAUGCAAGUCGAACGCCGUAGCAAUACGGAGUGGCAGACGGGUGAGUAACACGUGGGAACGUGCCCUUUGGUUCGGAACAACACAGGGAAACUUGUGCUAAUACCGGAUAAGCCCUUACGGGGAAAGAUUUAUCGCCAAAGGAUCGGCCCGCGUCUGAUUAGCUAGUUGGUGGGGUAACGGCCCACCAAGGCUACGAUCAGUAGCUGGUCUGAGAGGAUGAUCAGCCACACUGGGACUGAGACACGGCCCAGACUCCUACGGGAGGCAGCAGUUAGGAAUCUUGGACAAUGGGCGCAAGCCUGAUCCAGCCAUGCCGCGUGAGUGAUGAAGGCCUUAGGGUUGUAAAGCUCUUUCAGCGGGGAAGAUAAUGACGGUACCCGCAGAAGAAGCCCCGGCUAACUUCGUGCCAGCAGCCGCGGUAAUACGAAGGGGGCUAGCGUUGCUCGGAAUCACUGGGCGUAAAGCGCACGUAGGCGGAUCUUUAAGUCAGGGGUGAAAUCCUGGAGCUCAACUCCAGAACUGCCUUUGAUACUGAGGAUCUUGAGUCCGGGAGAGGUGAGUGGAACUCCGAGUGUAGAGGUGAAAUUCGUAGAUAUUCGGAAGAACACCAGUGGCGAAGGCGGCUCACUGGCCCGGUACUGACGCUGAGGUGCGAAAGCGUGGGGAGCAAACAGGAUUAGAUACCCCCGUAGUCC
rnacentral:rRNA from 1 species